UGCUCGGGCAGCGACGGCAUCUCCAACUUGCCUCUUCAAUGGUCGGCACGAGCGCUAUCUUGCCUCGGCCGAUGUCGGUUUCCCGUGUUGGAUACCCGUUGCGAAGGCAUUUCAUUCGGCUAAGUUGUCUCGAUUCCAUCCCGCAUCCUUGUGUCUUUCGGUGCAUGCGGUGCGGAUGGGCCCCGUAGCACCCGUCGUGUCGUCCCGAUCCGUGCGCUCCCGAAUGGGUUCCCGGUUUGACGAUCCACGACGGCGUGCUCGAUCUCUCGGAUGCGGAACACUCGUGGGUAUGAGGCGAAGUAAGUCCUCCUAUUGUCCCGAAAAAACGCUUCUUGCGAACGAUGGUCGUUCCGGUUUUGAACCUUCGCCCCCGCGGCGUCGAUCAUGCCGGGACGACGUCGGUGAGGAAUGCUACCUGGUUGAUCCU
rnacentral:misc_RNA from 1 species